AUUGAACGCUGGCGGCAGGCUUAACACAUGCAAGUCGAACGAGUGGCGGACGGGUGAGUAAUGCUUGGGAAUCUAGCUUAUGGAGGGGGAUAACUACGGGAAACUGUAGCUAAUACCGCGUACCAUAGGAUGAGCCCAAGUGGGAUUAGGUAGUUGGUGAGGUAAAGGCUCACCAAGCCGACGAUCUCUAGCUGGUCUGAGAGGAUGACCAGCCACAAUGGGACUGAGACACGGCCCAGACGCCGACGGAAUGCAGCAGUGGGGAAUAUUGCGCAAUGGGGGCAACCUGACGCAGCCAUGCCGCGUGAAUGAAGAAGGCCGUCGGGUUGUAAAGUUCUUUCGGUAGCGAGGCGUUACCCGCAGAAGAAGCACCUGCUAACUCCGUGCCAGCAGCCGCGGUAAUAC
rnacentral:rRNA from 1 species